GAUGAACGCUGGCGGCGUGCCUAAUACAUGCAAGUCGAGCGAACAGAUGAGGAGCUUGCUCCUCUGACGUUAGCGGCGGACGGGUGAGUAACACGUGGAUAACCUACCUAUAAGACUGGGAUAACUUCGGGAAACCGGAGCUAAUACCGGAUAAUAUAUUGAACCGCAUGGUUCAAUAGUGAAAGACGGUUUUGCUGUCCCUUAUAGAUGGAUCCGCGCCGGAUUAGCUAGUUGGUAAGGUAACGGCUUACCAAGGCAACGAUGCGUAGCCGACCUGAGAGGGUGAUCGGCCACACUGGAACUGAGACACGGUCCAGACUCCUACGGGAGGCAGCAGUGGGGAAUCUUCCGCAAUGGGCGAAAGCCUGACGGAGCAACGCCGCGUGAGUGAUGAAGGUCUUCGGAUCGUAAAACUCUGUUAUUAGGGAAGAACAAAUGUGUAAGUAACUAUGCACGUCUUGACGGUACCUAAUCAGAAAGCCACGGCUAACUACGUG
rnacentral:rRNA from 1 species